CGAAGGGGGCGUAGCGUUGUUCGGAAUUACUGGGGCGGUAAAAGACGCACGUAGGCGGAUAUUUUAAGUUCAGGGGUGGAAAUACCCGCAGCUCAACUGCGGGAACUGCCUUUGUAUACUGGGUAGUCUUGAGUAUGGAAGAAGGUAAGUGGAAUUCCGAGUGUAGAGGUGAAAUUCGUAGAUAUUCGGAGGAACACCAGUGGCGAAGGCGGCUUACUGGUCCAUUACUGACGCUGAGGUGCGAAAGCGUGGGGAGCAAACAGGAUU
rnacentral:rRNA from 1 species